UACGUAGGGGGCAAGCGUUGUCCGGAAUUAUUGGGCGUAAAGAGCGUGUAGGCGGCUCGAUAAGUCUGCUGUAAAAGUCGGGGGCUCAACCCCCGAAAGCCGGUGGAUACUGUCGGACUAGAGUACGGAAGAGGCGAGUGGAAUUCCUGGUGUAGCGGUGAAAUGCGCAGAUAUCAGGAGGAACACCAAUUGCGAAGGCAGCUCGCUGGGACGUAACUGACGCUGAGACGCGAAAGCGUGGGGAGCAAACAGG
rnacentral:rRNA from 1 species